UCUUCCAUUGGCUGCACUUUUGUCAGCCUUUAUACCCUGGGGAGAAGCACUAUGGUGGGCAGAGGGUGAGCCUCAGCGCUGCGCCAGUCACCUAGGGUUCCAGCCCUACACCAUCAACAAAUUAUGAUAAAGAGUAAUUUUGAAUAAGUCACAAGAUAGACAAGAAAUGCUGGAUUUAAAGAUAACUUUUUGUGGCUUGUUGGUCUUUUUUUCUCCCUCAAUGACCUGCUUCCACCUCACUGCAGUGUUGAUAGUGAACGGGAUGAAUCAUGAGUGCACACUCAAAAAUAUCGACCAUGCUUUAAGGACAAAGCAAGUUCUGAUGUCUGCUAAAGGAUUAAAUAUUUCUGUUUUCUGAAAAGAGUUAUUUUGUAUUUUGUUUUCUAUUAAAAUGUAUUUAGUUUC
rnacentral:lncRNA from 1 species